UACGGAGGGUGCAAGCGUUGUUCGGAAUCAUUGGGCGUAAAGCGCGUGUAGGCGGCUAGGCAAGUCGGUUGUGAAAGCCCGGGGCUUAACCCCGGAAUUGCACCUCAAACUACAUGGCUAGAGCAUUGGAGAGGGUAGCAGAAUUCAUGGUGUAGCAGUGAAAUGCGUAGAUAUCAUGAGGAAUACCAGAGGCGAAGGCGGCUACCUGGACAAUUGCUGACGCUCAGGCACGAAAGCGUGGGGAGCAAAAGGG
rnacentral:rRNA from 1 species